GGCCAAGUCCCGUGCGACUGUAUCAUACCCAAUCCCGUCAGGUCCGGAAGGAAGCAGCGGUCAGUAUAGGUGCAGUGUGAUACGGAUCAGCUUGGCCUCA
rfam:Chlorobi bacterium OLB7 TZ07_CHB004CONTIG000098, whole genome shotgun sequence.